AAUGGGGGAAACCCUGAUCCAGCCAUGCCGCGUGAGUGAAGAAGGCCUUCGGGUUGUAAAGCUCUUCAGCCGGAACGAAACGGUCACGGUUAAUACCCGUGAUUACUGACGGUACCGGAAGAAGAAGCACCGGCUAACUACGUGCCAGCAGCCGCGGUAAUACGUAGGGUGCGAGCGUUAAUCGGAAUUACUGGGCGUAAAGCGUGCGCAGGCGGUUUUGUAAGUCAGAUGUGAAAUCCCCGGGCUUAACCUGGGAACUGCGUUUGAAACUACAAGGCUAGAGUGUGGCAGAGGGGGGUGGAAUUCCACGUGUAGCAGUGAAAUGCGUAGAGAUGUGGAGGAACACCGAUGGCGAAGGCAGCCCCCUGGGUUAACACUGACGCUCAGGCACGAAAGCGUGGGGAGCAAACAGGAUUAGAUACCCUGGUAGUCCACGCCCUAAACGAUGUCAACUAGUUGUCGGGUCUUAACGGACUUGGUAACGCAGCUAACGCGUGAAGUUGACCGCCUGGGGAGUACGGUCGCAAGAUUA
rnacentral:rRNA from 1 species